GCGAGAGAGAGAGAGAGAGAGAGAGAGAGAGGAGAAAUAGAACCAUUGACUGGUUACCUUCCAUACAUACUGCAACCGGGGAUCAAACCCACAACCCAAGUAUGUGCCCUAAUUAGGAAUCGAACUAGCAUCUUUUCCAUGCACAGGAUGAUGUUCAACCAACUGAGCCACUCUGGUUGGGCGCCUGCAACAUUUUAAACACUCAGGAAUAACUGCUUCUAUUUUGUAAAAAUAAUUGUAAGAUUUGUGAUGAAAGAAACAUUAUCUUAUACUCUUAAAAAAAAUUUUUUUUUAGUGUUCCCUCAUUUUGGUGGGAUUAUUUUACUGUUGUGCGGUAGUUUAUAUUUAGCAAGGCAUGAUUUAAGUGAAAAGAUUAAAAAAUAAGUAAGGUUCAAAUGUCCAAUAAGUACAUGCAAAGAUAUUCAGCAUCAUUAGCCAUCAGGAAAAUGCAAAUAAGUCAGUUAAUAACAAGUGCAUAUAGAAGAAUUUGAAACCUUGUACACUGCUGGUGGGAAUAUAAAAUCAUGUGGCCUUUAGAAACUGUCUAGCAGUUCCUCAGGAGGUUAAACAUAGUUACCAUAUGACCCAGCAAUUCUACUUCUAAGUGUAUACCCCAAAGAAAUGAAAAUAUAUGCCUACCCAAAGCUUGUACAAAAUGUUCAUAGCAGCGUUAUUCAUAACAGCCAAAAAGUGGAAACAACCCAAAUGUUCACCGAACAAUAAAAUGUGGUACAUACAAUGGACUGCUAUUCAUCAAUACAGAGAAAUGAGUCCUGAUACAUGUCACAACAGGGCUGAGCCUUGAAAACAUUAUGCUAAGUCUAAGAAGCCAGUCACAAAAGACCACAUAUUGUAUUAUUCUACUUAUAUGAAAUGUCCAGAAUUGGCAAAUCCAUAGGGGAAGAAAGGAGAUUUGUGAGUGGUUUUUUUCUAGGCCUGGGAGGGGUGGAUAGGGAGAAUGCGAAGUGACUGCUAAUUGGUAUUGGCUUCCUUUUUAUGCGAUGAAAAUGUUCUAAAAUUGAUUGUGGUGAUGAUUUCACAUAUCUCUGGGUAUACUAAAAACCAUUGAAUUGUACACUUUAAAUCAGUAAAUUGUGUUUUAUGUAAAAUAUAUCUCAAUAAAAUGUCACCAAAAAAAGAAAGUGGUUUCAGAAACCACUUAAGUGAUGAAAGGAGGAUUACAUAAAGAGCUAGAAGUAAGGAGUGAGCACCCAGCGCACCCGGGCCAUCUUGGAGAAAUCCUAGAAACAGGGACUGGAUCAUUAAAAAGGGAUAUGGAAUGUAUUUCUCUUAGGAAUGAAAAGGGCAUAGGAAUACAUAGAAAUAAAAGAUAGAUCUGGUCGCAUUAGUGAUUGGAAAUGCAGGGAAUCUCAUUUAAGAGAAUACCAACCUGUCAUUAAUCAGAAUUUGGUGGCUCUGACUUGGACUGCUAGAUGACCCUCCUGUAUAAGUGAAUCAGUGGCAAAAGAAAUUAAUGUUUGAAAUAUUUCUUAUUGGCACAUAUUUAACAAAAUGAAAAUAUGCUUUCUCUGUACCACCUUGCUUUUUAAAAUUAGUUUGUAUUCUCUCAGGAAAAUAGAAAAUUUUCAAGCUGAUCCAAUUUCAAGAGUAUUUGUCAUUCUAGAGUAGAAACAUUUAGCUUUUUUAUGUUUUUUAAUUAAAUAUUAAAGUAUAUAAAUUUGAAUUUUGUAGAAAUGCAUAGACUGGUAGAAAGCUAUUAUUUUAAUACUGUCAAGAAAACGGAAAGGUUGCGAGCAUUUUUCUUUUAAAAAAAACAACUGUAUAUGUAUACAAUAGUAUAAUCAUAUCAGCCACAGAAUCCCUAACUUUGCACUUGUUAUAAUUCCUGCUUUCACACAGAAAGAUUGUGUGCAUGUUUGCACAUGCUCAAAUAAAAGAAUCCCUUCAGGGGCACUA